AUUGAACGCUGGCGGCAUGCCUUACACAUGCAAGUCGAACGGCAGCACGGGUGCUUGCACCUGAUGGCGAGUGGCGAACGGGUGAGUAAUACAUCGGAACAUGUCCUGUAGUGGGGGAUAGCCCGGCGAAAGCCGGAUUAAUACCGCAUACGAUCUACGGAUGAAAGCGGGGGACCUUCGGGCCUCGCGCUAUAGGGUUGGCCGAUGGCUGAUUAGCUAGUUGGUGGGGUAAAGGCCUACCAAGGCGACGAUCAGUAGCUGGUCUGAGAGGACGACCAGCCACACUGGGACUGAGACACGGCCCAGACUCCUACGGGAGGCAGCAGUGGGGAAUUUUGGACAAUGGGCGAAAGCCUGAUCCAGCAAUGCCGCGUGUGUGAAGAAGGCCUUCGGGUUGUAAAGCACUUUUGUCCGGAAAGAAAUCUUUGGCCCUAAUACGGUCGGGGGAUGACGGUACCGGAAGAAUAAGCACCGGCUAACUACGUG
rnacentral:rRNA from 1 species